CGCAGGUGUUAUCGAAGAGGAUGUUGUUACUAAUUUGUUAGCUUCUCCCCUUUUCAAGAAUAACUUUCAACAAGAAGUUAUGUUUCUCAAAUUAUCAGUGGAAUUGUGUUUUUACUGCGCUUCCUGUUGUUAGCCAUCUCUUUUGAAAAAUAUCUUGAUAUUAAUAACUCUCAACCAAAACCGGCUGAGAGUUGAGUUACUGCCUGCACAUUAUAUAGUGCUGAAACUAGGCUGCGUGCACGUGAAGAUGCACUACAUGACCAAAAGUAUGUGGACACCUGCUUGUUGAAUAUCUCAUUCCAAAAUCAUGGGCAUUAAUAUGGAGUUGGUCCCUCCCCUGUAACAGCCUCCACUCUUCCUGGAAGGCUUUCCACUAGAUGUUGGAACAUUGUUGCUAGGGACUUGCUUCCAUUCAGCCACAAGAGCAUUAGUGAGGUCAGGCACUGAUGUUGGGCGAUUAGGCCUGGCUCACAGUCAGUGUUCCAAUUCAUCCUAAAGGUGUUCAAUAGGGUUGAGGUCAGGGCUUUGUGCAGGCCAGUCAAGUUCUUCCACGCCGAUCUCCGACAAACCAUUUCUGUAUGGACCUCGCUUUGUCCACGGAGGCAUUGUCAUGCUGAAACAGGAAAGGGCCUUCCCCAAACUGUUGCCACAAAGUUGGGUGCACAGAAUCAUCUACAAUGUCAUUGUAUGCUGUAGAGUUAAGGUUUUCCUUCACUGGUACAAAGUGAACCAUGAAAAACAGCCCCAGACCAUUAUUCCUCCUCCACCUAACUUUACAGUUGGCACUAUGCAUUCGGGCAGGUAGUAUUCUCCUGGCAUCCGCCAAACUCAGAAUCGUCCAUCAAACUGCCAGAUGGUGAAGUGUGAUUCAUAACUCCAGAGAACGUGUUUCCACUGCUCCAGAGUCCAAUGACGGUGAGCUUCACACCACUCCAGUCGACGCUGGGCAUUGUGCAUGGUGAUCUUAGGCUUGUGUGCGGCUGCUCGACCACGGAAACCCAUUUCAUGAAGCUCCUGACGAACAGUUAUUGUGCUGAAGUUGCUUCCAGAGGCUGUUUGGUUCUCGGUAGUUGUGUGUUGCAACUGAGGACAGAUGAUUUUUACACACUACUCGCCUACUACUUCGCGGCUGAGCCGUUGUUGCUCCUAGACGUUUCCAUUUCACAAUAACAGCACUUACAGUACACCGGGGCAGCUCUAGCAGGGCAUAAAUUUGACACACUGACUUGUUGGAAAAGUAGCAUCCUAUGACGGUGUUACUGAGCUCUUCAGUACGGGCCAUUCUACUGCCAAUGUUUGUCUAAGGAGAUUGCAUGUCUCUGUGCUCGAUUUUAUACACCUGUCAGCAACGGGUGUGGCUGAAAUAGCCGAAUCCACACAUUUGAAGGGAUGUCCACAUCAUUUUGUGUAUAUAUAGUCUAUUUCAUGUGCUUUGCGAUUGUGUAGGCUACUUUGUGCAUGAUUUCUUGUUGUACUAAAUCAUUGAUAAGUCCUAUACCUCCACUACACUACUUUGAUAUAGGCAUCAGUGGGGAAGUGAGUAUAUGUACUGAAACAGCACAUACCUGUGUGUGGCCUCCACUACACUACUUUGAUAUAGGCAUCAGUGGGGAAGUGAGUAUAUGUACUGAAACAGCUAUACACCUCCACUACACUACUGACCCUUUUGUGUUUUUACAAAAAACUCUCCUACAUCAGUGCGUUGGUAUUACUGUCCUUUCAGCAUCGAGAACCUGUCACACACGUAAGGCCUAUAAUCGAUAUAAAUACUUCAGGUAUUCACAUUUCCAGAAAGAAGUGUAUAUUUUUGGUCUGGUCGAAGAAGCGCGGUUUCAUGGGUUACUGAAUAGAAGCGGAUAAUUAUGAGGUUUUUUUUUAUUUUUCUGCUGGUCAGAGACAAGACCGAGACACUCAAAAUGUGGUCUGAAGACUGGACUAGAGACCUAGACCCGUAUUCACACACUACAACACGGGACUGUAUGUUCGUCAACAGAAACAGAACGGGAGGGUAAGAUGCGGUUUAUUUACACAGCAACACAGUCUAGUCAGGAUAACGACUCGUCUACCUCUGUUCGACUCCCUGGGAUCAGGGUCCAGAGUAAGUCUGCGCUGCAGACUCGUUGAAGUAGAAUUUAUCAUCCAAAUCGAGGUCCGGUUCAGAAGGAUCCUGUGACGGCAGGACAGAAGUCAGUGCAGUGCUUCUGCCAUGAAGUCUUGGAGGCCCCAAAAAAACUUCUCGGCUGCAGAUAUGAUGUCUGACCUCCUGGACACUUGUGGCUAUAAAUGCUACUAAAAUUCACCAUCUUUACAAUAAGUGGGUCACUGCUAGAUGGGAUACACUUUAUGUCAAAUUAACAUCAAAAGUAAAACAAAAUAAUU